AAUGUGUUAGCUCAGUCGGUUAGAGCAUGGUGCUAAUAACACCAGGGUUGUGGGUUUGAUCCCUAGAGGUUUUA
rfam:Manacus vitellinus contig39566, whole genome shotgun sequence.